CCCUCUCGAUGCAUUGGUGUGUUUGGUCCUGCCUCACCCCACCUCGUGAGGGAGAGUUGCAAGUGCCAUGCACUCCAAGGCAAAACCAACAACCCCCGGCGCGAAUUGCGCCAAGGAAUUUAAAUGAAAAGAGUGCACGUUACUAUCGUCGACCCGUUCGCGGUGUUUGGACGAGAGUUUCGCUGUUACUUUUGUCGUGAAAAUACAAAACGACUCUCGGCAACGGAUAUCUCGGCUCUCGCAUCGAUGAAGAACGUAGCGAAAUGCGAUACUUGGUGUGAAUUGCAGAAUCCCGCGAACCAUCGAGUCUUUGAACGCAAGUUGCGCCCCAAGCCAUUAGGCCGAGGGCACGUCUGCCUGGGUGUCACGCAUCGUUGCCCCCAUCAAACCUCGAGCUUAUUUCAGCUCAGGUCAAUUUGAGGGCGGAAAUUGGCUUCCCGUGCGCUCACCGCCUGCGGUUGGCCUAAAUAAUAGUCUUCGGCGAUGAAGUGCCGCGACAAUCGGUGGGAAUGCUUUUGGCUGCCUCGUUCGAAGUCGUGUGCGAUCGUCGGUUUGGACCUUAUGACCCUUUUGGCAUCACAAUGAUGGUGCUUGCAUCGCGACCCCAGGUCAGGCGGGAUUACCCGCUGAGGUUUAAGCAUAUCAAUAAGCGGAGGAA
rnacentral:rRNA from 1 species